AGUGAACGCUGGCGGUAGGCCUAACACAUGCAAGUCGAACGGCAGCACAGUAAGAGCUUGCUCUUACGGGUGGCGAGUGGCGGACGGGUGAGGAAUACAUCGGAAUCUACUUUUUCGUGGGGGAUAACGUAGGGAAACUUACGCUAAUACCGCAUACGACCUACGGGUGAAAGCAGGGGAUCUUCGGACCUUGCGCGAUUGAAUGAGCCGAUGUCGGAUUAGCUAGUUGGCGGGGUAAAGGCCCACCAAGGCGACGAUCCGUAGCUGGUCUGAGAGGAUGAUCAGCCACACUGGAACUGAGACACGGUCCAGACUCCUACGGGAGGCAGCAGCGGGGAAUAUUGGACAAUGGGCACAAGCCUGAUCCAGCCAUACCGCGUGGGUGAAGAAGGCCUUCGGGUUGUAAAGCCCUUUUGUUGGGAAAGAAAGGCAGCAGGUUAAUACCCCGCUGUUCUGACGGUACCCAAAGAAUAAGCACCGGCUAACUUCGUG
rnacentral:rRNA from 1 species